UACGAGGGGAGCUAGCGUUGUUCGGAAUUACUGGGCGUAAAGGGCGUGUAGGCGGUACCAUAAGUCAGAUGUGAAAGCCCUAGGCUUAACCUAGGAGGUGCAUUUGAUACUGUGGAACUAGAGAUCGAGAGAGGAAAGUGGAAUUACGAGUGUAGAGGUGAAAUUCGUAGAUAUUCGUAAGAACACCAGUGGCGAAGGCGACUUACUGGACACAUAUUGACGCUGAGGUGCGAAAGCGUGGGGAGCAAACAGG
rnacentral:rRNA from 1 species